AUGGAUUCGAAUUGCGCGCCAAGAACUUCCGGGGACGAUCUGAAGUCUACAACGUAACGUGACGUGCAAACAUUUUGGACAACAGUGGGACUCGCUACUUCAAAUUCUCCUCCAAACUCCGUUAAAUGACAUCGUUGAUCACCAUUUCCAUAAGGACGAGUUCCAGGCACUAACGACAUAAUUGUUCAGAAGAGGUUGCAUCCACCAAAAAAGAAUCCCUUCUCAAGGGGAGCAGCAUUGGAGUUAGCAACACCAACAGACUUCAUAAACUGAUCAAGAAAGCUGGCUCUGUGACAGGCUGCAAGCUGGAGACCUUUGAAGCUGUGGUGGAGGACAAUGAACAAACUGUUAUCUAUCAUGGAUAACCCUAACCCUAUGUGCUUUCUCUUUUGAACUGCUAUGUAAUUGUAGUGCUAUUAUCUGUCAAGAAACUCAUCCAUUUACGGGAUAUGAGCUGAUACUUAAGAAAUUGGAACGUUCUAGCAAGAAUAUUGUCUUCAGGGGCACGAUGACCUGGCUCGCAUGAUUAUAAAUGUGGUGUAACCAUCAGUUUGAUUUACUGAUUGUUUUGUAACUCGGCCAGGAAGAAUUGACUGAUAGGAGACUUUGUGUAUUAGAGUUGUGUAACGUCAUUAGGUUGUUUUGUAAUUGUAUUAUCCAAGAUCAUGUGACAAUACAUUAAAAGACACUCUCACCUGAUUUCAUUUGGGCACUCAGAACUUUUU